rnacentral:rRNA from 1 species
UACAAUGACUCUCGGCAACGGAUAUCUCGGCUCUUGCAUCGAUGAAGAACGUAGCGAAAUGCGAUACUUGGUGUGAAUUGCAGAAUCCCGUGAACCAUCGAGUCUUUGAACGCAAGUUGCGCCCGAAGCCAUYAGGCCGAGGGCACGUCUGCCUGGGUGUCACA